rnacentral:rRNA from 1 species
UACGGGGGGGGCAAGCGUUGUUCGGAAUUACUGGGCGUAAAGGGCUCGUAGGCGGCCAACUAAGUCGGACGUGAAAUCCCUCGGCUUAACCGGGGAACUGCGUCCGAUACUGGAUGGCUUGAGUGUGGGAGAGGGAUGCGGAAUUCCAGGUGUAGCGGUGAAAUGCGUAGAUAUCUGGAGGAACACCGGUGGCGAAGGCGACAUCCUGGACCGGUAUUGACGCUGAGGCGCGAAAGCCAGGGGAGCAAACGGG